UCCGUUGGUGAACCAGCGGAGGGAUCAUUACCGAGUUUACAACUCCCAAACCCCUGUGAACAUACCACUUGUUGCCUCGGCGGAUCAGCCCGCUCCCGGUAAAACGGGACGGCCCGCCAGAGGACCCCUAAACUCUGUUUCUAUAUGUAACUUCUGAGUAAAACCAUAAAUAAAUCAAAACUUUCAACAACGGAUCUCUUGGUUCUGGCAUCGAUGAAGAACGCAGCAAAAUGCGAUAAGUAAUGUGAAUUGCAGAAUUCAGUGAAUCAUCGAAUCUUUGAACGCACAUUGCGCCCGCCAGUAUUCUGGCGGGCAUGCCUGUUCGAGCGUCAUUUCAACCCUCAAGCACAGCUUGGUGUUGGGACUCGCGUUAAUUCGCGUUCCCCAAAUUGAUUGGCGGUCACGUCGAGCUUCCAUAGCGUAGUAGUAAAACCCUCGUUACUGGUAAUCGUCGCGGCCACGCCGUUAAACCCCAACUUCUGAAUGUUGACCUCGGAUCAGGUAGGAAUACCCGCUGAACUU
rnacentral:rRNA from 1 species